GACGAACGCUGGCGGCGUGCCUAAUACAUGCAAGUUGAGCGCUGAAGGUUGGUACUUGUACCAACUGGAUGAGCAGCGAACGGGUGAGUAACGCGUGGGGAAUCUGCCUUUGAGCGGGGGACAACAUUUGGAAACGAAUGCUAAUACCGCAUAAAAACUUUAAACACAAGUUUUAAGUUUGAAAGAUGCAAUUGCAUCACUCAAAGAUGAUCCCGCGUUGUAUUAGCUAGUUGGUGAGGUAAAGGCUCACCAAGGCGAUGAUACAUAGCCGACCUGAGAGGGUGAUCGGCCACAUUGGGACUGAGACACGGCCCAAACUCCUACGGGAGGCAGCAGUAGGGAAUCUUCGGCAAUGGACGAAAGUCUGACCGAGCAAAGCCGCGUGCGUGAAGAAGGUUUUCGGAUCGUAAAACUCUGUUGGUAGAGAAGAACGUUGGUGAGAGUGGAAAGCUCAUCAAGUGACGGUAACUACCCAGAAAGGGACGGCUAACUACGUG
rnacentral:rRNA from 1 species